AAAAAACUGAUCUUGGAUGGCCCGAGGGAAACGGACUCUUUGUGAUGUGACCAUUGCUGAGAUGCCCUGAAAAGAUCAGUGAUGUUGUGAAUGCCUAAAAUAACUGUAUUUUGAUUGUACUGAGAUAAGUAUGAAGUUUUUAUCAAAGUUCACAUAGUACAGCAGUUCCUCCUCCUGCAGUGCAAGGGUGGAGCGCAGUUCUUGGAUCAGUUCCAACCGUUUCUCUCUUCCCUCGAACAUCUGUCAACCAUUAGACUUCAUCCUUUCACAUC